rnacentral:rRNA from 1 species
GACGAACGCUGGCGGCGUGCCUAAUACAUGCAAGUCGAGCGGAGUUUACGUUUCCUUCGGGAAAUGUGAACUUAGCGGCGGACGGGUGAGUAACACGUAGGUAACCUGCCUACAAGCCUGGGAUAACAGUCGGAAACGAUUGCUAAUACCGGAUACGUGAGUCUCUCGCAUGAGAGAGUCUGGAAAGGCGGAGCAAUCUGCCACUUGUGGAUGGGCCUGCGGCGCAUUAGCUAGUUGGAGGGGUAAAGGCCCACCAAGGCGACGAUGCGUAGCCGACCUGAGAGGGUGAUCGGCCACACUGGGACUGAGACACGGCCCAGACUCCUACGGGAGGCAGCAGUAGGGAAUCUUCCGCAAUGGACGAAAGUCUGACGGAGCAACGCCGCGUGAGUGAUGAAGGUUUUCGGAUCGUAAAGCUCUGUUGCCAGGGAAGAAUGCUUGGGAGAGUAACUGCUCUCAAGGUGACGGUACCUGAGAAGAAAGCCCCGGCUAACUACGUGCCAGCAGCCGCGGUAAUAC